ACACAGUGGGAAGACCCUCGACGAUAGUUGGGGGUAGGACGUGCCUUUGGAGGCGCUGGUGCACAGCUAAUAGAAACCGAGGAGGAAAUCGAGAGUGUCUGCUGCCCUCGUGGCGGCGCGAGUGCGGACACCGCACGCGUCUGCCGCUGCCCUGUCCGGGUGACAACUGGCCGAGUCCCCCACCCGGGACCGUGAUGCUGCGGGCGGUGGGUAAAGGCAGCGCUGCGGGCCCGGAGGGCGGCGCAGAGGGCGGCGCUGGCGGCGUGAAAGGCGCCUUUGUGCAAGCCCGGGUGUAGGACCCGGGGAGAGCAGAGAGCUGACCGAGACCUGGAGUCGGGGGACAGAGGCGUCCGGCACUCAGCCGUCGGAUCUCCAGCAGGACACUCGGGUAGCGCAGUGGAGAUGGUCUGAGGCGGUGGCCAGGGGCCGGGAGUGGGAAGAGAGCAGUUUCGAGGAAGUUGGGGGAGAGGGACUUGUCUCCCCGCCCUCUCCCCCUAGGUGGCAGAGGCCCCACUGGCUAGCAGGGUGCAACCACUGGCCCCGGAGCUCACUCCGGAACCGGCAUCUGGAGAGCGGCCCCCGGGUGGAGCCGCCCGCCUGCCGCCCACCUGGGGCAGAGCGGCGGGCGGGCGGGCGCGGCGAGGCCUCCCUUCUGCGCCCCGGCCGCGUGGCUUGCGGCUUAUUUUCCCAGCUGGCAAGCGUCGCGCUGCAGACAAGGGAAUGCCUGUGGUCCUGCGUGUUCCGGAGCUCGGGGGCAUCCUGAUCUCGCUGAGCCCCUUCCAGGUGCUGAAGGGUUAAGAAUGAUGAAGAAGAGGAGGAAGCGAGGCGCGCCCCCCGGCCCAUGCCGCAGCCAGAGGCCCGGCCCA